GUUUACAUACACCUUAGCCAAAAACAUUUAAACUCAGUUUCACAAUUCCUGACAUUUAAUCCUAGUAAAAAUUCCCUGUCUUAGGUCAGUUAGGAUCACCACUUUAUUUUAAAAAUGUGACAUGUCAGAAUAAUAGUAGAGAAAAUUAUUUCUUUCAGAUUUUAUUUCUUUCAUCACAUUCUCAGUAGGUCAGAAGUUUACAUACACUCAAUUAGUAUUUGGUAGCAUUGCCUUUACAUUGUUUACUCGGGUCAAACGUUUCGUGUAGCCUUCCACAAGCUUCCCACAAUUAGUUGGGUGAAUUUUGGCCCAUUCCUCCUGACAGAGCUGGUGUAACUGAGUCAGGUUUGUAGGCCUCCUUGUUCACACACACUUUUCAGUUCUGCCUACACAUUUUCUAAAGGAUUGAGAUCCGGACUUUGUGAUGGCCACUCCAAUACCGUGACUUUGUUGUCCUUAAGCCAUUUUGUCACAACUUUGGAAGUAUGCUUGGGCUCAUUGUCACUUUGGAAGACCCAUUUGCGACCAAGCUUUAACUUCCUGAUUGAUGUCUUGAGAUGUUGCUUCAAUAUAUCCACAAAAUGUUCUUCCUCAUGAUGCCAUCUAUUCUGUGAAGUGCACCAGUCCCUCAUGCAGAAAAGCACCCCCACAACAUGAUGCUGCCACCCCCAUGCUCCAUGGUUGGGACGGUGUUCUUCGGCUUGCAAGCCUCCCCCUUUUUAGUCCAAACAUAACAAUGGUCAUUAUGGCCAAACAGUUCUAUUUUUGUUUCAUCAGACCAGAGGACAUUUCUCCAAAAAGUACAAUCUUUGUCCCCAUGUGCAGUUGCAAACCGUAGUCAGGCUUUUUUUAAUGGCGGUUUUGGAGCAGUGGCUUCUUCCUUGCUGAGCGGCCUUUCAGGUUAUGUUGAUAUAGGACUCGUUUUACUGUGGAUAUAGAUACUUUUGUACCCGUUUCCUCCAGCAUCUUCACAAGGUCCUUUGCUGUUGUUCUGGGAUUGAUUUGCACUUUUCGCACCAAAGUACGUUCAUCUCUAGGAGACAGAACGCGUCUCCUUCCUGAGCAGUAUGAUGGCUGCGUGGUCCCAUGGUGUUUAAACUUGCGUACUAUUGUUUGUACAGAUGAACCUUCAGGCGUUUGGAAAUUGCUCCCAAGGAUGAACCAGACUUGUGAAGGCCUACAACAUCAAUACAUCCACAGGUACACCUCCAAUUGACUCAAAUGAUGUCAAUUAGGCUAUCAGAAGCUUCUAAAGCCAUGACAUCAUUUUCUGGAAUUUUCCAAGCUGUUUAAAGGCACAGUCAACUUAGUGUAUGCUAACUUCUGACCCACUGGAAUUGUGAUAAAGUGAAUUAUAAGUGAAAUAAUCUGUCUGUGAACAAUUGUUGUAAAAAUGAUGUGUGUCAUGCACAAAGUAGAUUUCCUAACCGACUUGCCCAUACUAUAGUUUGUUAAAAAGAAAUUUGUGGAGUGGUUGAAAAACGAGUUUUAAUGACUCCAACCUAAGUGUAUGUAAACUUCCGACUUCAACUGUAUUCAUUGUGAAAAACAACACAAAAAUACAUUGCCAGUAGAAAAAUCAUUGGAAUUAGCAUUAAAACACAUUCCUCUCCCUCUCUUCCUCUCCCCCAAUUUCCAUCCGUCCCCCCUUUCACCCCAAAUGCUCUUCCACGUACUUCCAGGUGGAUCUUUCCAUCUGUACAGAGUGUUUAUUAACAGCCCAUGGCUCUGGCAUCUGACAAAUUAUCUGUCCAUCAGAGUACCAACAAAUAUCUUCCUUUGGACUUGGCCAGAAGAAUUUGUUGAUGCCAUUCAGGUGCAUGCACUUCACCUUAAUGUUAUGUUCCUCUACAUCUAUGAUGAUGCCAGGGUAUCCUUCAUGGUCAUAAUUGACAACACACCACUCCCCUACGUGAUUAAGUUCAAUGGUUCCAGGUCGCCAUGUGGUGUCAGCCUCGUCAUGAGAUGUAGGGAGCUGGUUAGAUGCUGCAGGGUCACCCAGAGUUGCCUCUUUGAGCUGAAAACAAGGACAGUCCAACAUGCCACUAUCCUUCUGCACAGACAAGUAUUUUAUCUGGCCUGGUGAGACACUGAUAACCUGAUUAAUCUUCAUCGUUCCUUUAAUGGCAUCUAAGGCAGGCAUCCGAGGUGAGAAGAGAUAGCAUAUGACCUAUCUGCUGCCUUUGAUACCGUGAACCAUCAGAUCCUCCUCUCCACCCUCUCCGAGCUGGGCAUCUCCGGCACCGCGCACGCUUGGAUUGCGUCCUACCUGACAGGUCGCUCCUACCAGGUGGCGUGGCGAGAAUCUGUCUCCGCACCACGUGCUCUCACCACUGGUGUCCC
rnacentral:lncRNA from 1 species